GGAGAGGUGGCUGAGUGGCUUAAAGCGCUCCCCUGCUAAGGGAGUAUACCGUCAACACGGUAUCGAGGGUUCGAAUCCCUCCCUCUCCG
rnacentral:tRNA from 1 species